UGAUGUGAGGGUGGUCUCACUGUGACAUCUGUCGCCAGGGUUGAUUUGGCUGAUCUGGAUGGCUCAGUGAGCGGGUGUCCCACUCCUCCCUCACUACUCCAUGAGCGUCCCUCCUGAAGCUGAGGGCUGGGUUGAAGAGGAUGACCUUCCCUGAAUAGAGACUUACUGGUCUUUGGUUUUGGCUGCACUCCCCUGUUAGAACCUCCAGACAAGCUCUCAGCAUAUUGUUCUUGGUUUUCUGACAGGUAGUAAACAAAAGGAGAUGCUGCAAAGUUCUCCAGGUCCCAUGUUU
ensembl:misc_RNA 7SK 7SK RNA